GACGAACGCUGGCGGCGUGGAUUAGGCAUGCAAGUCGAACGGUAGAUAUCCUUCGGGGUAUUGAGAGUGGCGAACGGGUGAGUAACACGUAGGUAAUCUACCCUCAAAUCGGGGACAACCCAGGGAAACUUGGGCUAAUACCGGAUGAGUGCAGCACCUAAAUCAUCCAUACGGAAUCUGGUUAAGAUUGGGUUUUGUAUGGUUGGGUGAUUUAGGUGCUGUAUAAAAGAUGGCUUCGGCUGUCGUUUGAGGAUGAGCCUGCGCUCUAUUAGUUAGUUGGUGAGGUAAUGGCUCACCAAGGCGAUGAUAGAUAGGCGGCCUUAACGGGUGGUCGCCCACACUGGGAUUGAGAUACGGCCCAGACUCCUACGGGAGGCAGCAGUCGAGAAUAGUCUACAAUGGACGAAAGUCUGAUAGUGCGACGCCGCGUGAACGAUGAAUCCCUUCGGGGUGUAAAGUUCUUUAUAUGUGAGCAAUGCCUUAUAUGUGAAUAGC
rnacentral:rRNA from 1 species